GACGAACGCUGGCGGCGUGCUUAACACAUGCAAGUCGAACGGAAAGGCCCUGCUUUUGUGGGGUGCUCGAGUGGCGAACGGGUGAGUAACACGUGAGUAACCUGCCCUUGACUUUGGGAUAACUUCAGGAAACUGGGGCUAAUACCGGAUAGGAGCUCCUGCUGCAUGGUGGGGGUUGGAAAGUUUCGGCGGUUGGGGAUGGACUCGCGGCUUAUCAGCUUGUUGGGGGGGUAGUGGCUUACCAAGGCUUUGACGGGUAGCCGGCCUGAGAGGGUGACCGGCCACGUUGGGCCUGAGAUACGGCCCAGACUCCUACGGGAGGCAACGGUGGGGAAUAUUACACAAUGGGCGGAAGCCUGAUGCAGCAACGCCGCGUGCGGGAUGACGGCCUUCGGGUUGUAAACCGCUUUCGCCUGUGACGAAGCGUGAGUGACGGUAAUGGGUAAAGAAGCACCGGCUAACUACGUG
rnacentral:rRNA from 1 species